rnacentral:rRNA from 1 species
GACGGAGGUUGCAAGCGUUAUUCGGAAUUAUUGGGCGUAAAGAGCGUGUAGGCGGCCGGUUAAGUCAGGUGUGAAAGUCCGGGGCUCAACCUCGGAAGUGCACUUGAAACUGGUCGGCUUGAGUUCGGGAGAGGGAAGCGGAAUUCCGGGUGUAGAGGUGAAAUUCGUAGAUAUCCGGAGGAACAUCGGUGGCGAAGGCGGCUUCCUGGGCCGAAACUGACGCUGAGACGCGAAAGCGUGGGGAGCAAACAGG